GUUUAGGAUUUGAUUAGUUUCCUAUGGUGUACGACUUUGCAUGCCACAGUAUCGUUAAUUGAUUCCAAAUAGGUUCAGAAUUAGAGUCCGAGUAGGUUUAAUUAUUGGUUGUGUACGUGUGCAUGUAUAUACAUGGUACAAGGCUUGUGUAUCAAGUUGUAACGUGAGUUGUCAGUCCAGCAGGAAAAAUUCCUUCAACAAAAAAAAAAGUUCAGCAGGAAAAAAAUGAGAGAGAAAACUCAACGUGCUUUCGGUCGUCCUACGUACAGAUUCUGUGAUGAUGCGUGCGUGUGAUUUUUCAUGAGACCGAGUUUGGACAAACCCAACAGUUGCAGUGUAUUUAUACGGUGCAAACGUUAACUGAAGAUUACUGAAUUGUACAUCGUGGUGUGCAACCACCUGAACAUACCACCACUCGCUGCUGAAACUCGUGCGG
rnacentral:lncRNA from 1 species